rnacentral:rRNA from 1 species
UACGGGGGGGGCAAGCGUUGUUCGGAAUUACUGGGCGUAAAGGGCUCGUAGGCGGCCAACUAAGUCAGACGUGAAAUCCCUCGGCUUAACCGGGGAACUGCGUCUGAUACUGGAUGGCUCGAGUUUGGGAGAGGGAUGCGGAAUUCCAGGUGUAGCGGUGAAAUGCGUAGAUAUCUGGAGGAACACCGGUGGCGAAGGCGGCAUCCUGGACCAAUAUUGACGCUGAGGAGCGAAAGCCAGGGGAGCAAACGGG